rnacentral:rRNA from 1 species
GAUGAACGCUGGCGGCGUGCCUAAUACAUGCAAGUCGAGCGAACAGACGAGGAGCUUGCUCCUCUGACGUUAGCGGCGGACGGGUGAGUAACACGUGGAUAACCUACCUAUAAGACUGGGAUAACUUCGGGAAACCGGAGCUAAUACCGGAUAAUAUAUUGAACCGCAUGGUUCAAUAGUGAAAGACGGUUUUGCUGUCACUUAUAGAUGGAUCCGCGCCGCAUUAGCUAGUUGGUAAGGUAACAGCUUACCAAGGCAACGAUGCGUAGCCGACCUGAGAGGGUGAUCGGCCACACUGGAACUGAGACACGGUCCAGACUCCUACGGGAGGCAGCAGUAGGGAAUCUUCCGCAAUGGGCGAAAGCCUGACGGAGCAACACCGCGUGAGUGAUGAAGGUCUUCGGAUCGUAAAACUCUGUUAUUAGGGAAGAACAAAUGUGUAAGUAACUAUGCACGUCUUGACGGUACCUAAUCAGAAAGCCACGGCUAACUACGUG